GACGAACGCUGGCGGCGUGCUUAACACAUGCAAGUCGAACGGAAAGGCCCUGCUUUUGUGGGGUGCUCGAGUGGCGAACGGGUGAGUAACACGUGAGUAACCUGCCCUUGACUUUGGGAUAACUUCAGGAAACUGGGGCUAAUACCGGAUAGGAGCUCCUGCUGCAUGGUGGGGGUUGGAAAGUUUCGGCGGUUGGGGAUGGACUCGCGGCUUAUCAGCUUGUUGGUGGGGUAGUGGCUUACCAAGGCUUUGACGGGUAGCCGGCCUGAGAAGGUGACCGGCCACAUUGGGACUGAGAUACGGCCCAGACUCCUACGGGAGGCAGCAGUGGGAAAUAUUGCACAAUGGGCGGAAGCCUGAUGCAGCAACGCCGCGUGCGGAAUGACGGCCUUCGGGUUGUAAACCGCUUUCGCCUGUGACGAAGCGUGAGUGACGGUAAUGGGUAAAGAAGCACCGGCUAACUACGUG
rnacentral:rRNA from 1 species